CUUGCUCUCGGGUGACGAGUGGCGGACGGGUGAGUAAUGUCUGGGAAACUGCCUGAUGGAGGGGGAUAACUACUGGAAACGGUAGCUAAUACCGCAUAACGUCGCAAGACCAAAGAGGGGGACCUUCGGGCCUCUUGCCAUCAGAUGUGCCCAGAUGGGAUUAGCUAGUAGGUGGGGUAACGGCUCACCUAGGCGACGAUCCCUAGCUGGUCUGAGAGGAUGACCAGCCACACUGGAACUGAGACACGGUCCAGACUCCUACGGGAGGCAGCAGUGGGGAAUAUUGCACAAUGGGCGCAAGCCUGAUGCAGCCAUGCCGCGUGUAUGAAGAAGGCCUUCGGGUUGUAAAGUACUUUCAGCGGGGAGGAAGGUGUUGUGGUUAAUAACCACAGCAAUUGACGUUACCCGCAGAAGAAGCACCGGCUAACUCCGUGCCAGCAGCCGCGGUAAUACGGAGGGUGCAAGCGUUAAUCGGGAAUUUACUGGGGCGUAAA
rnacentral:rRNA from 1 species